rnacentral:rRNA from 1 species
GAAUUCGCCCUUAGAGUUUGAUCCUGGCUCAGGAUGAACGCUGGCGGCGUGCCUAACACAUGCAAGUCGAGCGAGAACCGAAAAGACAGAAGCUUCGGCCGAAGGAUUUUUGGGGAAAGCGGCGGACGGGUGAGUAACGCGUAGGUAACCUGCCCUAUACACGGGGAUAGCCACUGGAAACGGUGAUUAAUACCCGAUAGUCUCUUGUAACGCAUGUUAUGAGAGGGAAAGAUUUAUCGGUAUGGGAUGGACCUGCGUCUGAUUAGCUAGUUGGUGGGGUAAUGGCCUACCAAGGCAACGAUCAGUAGCCGACCUUAGAGGGUGAUCGGCCACACUGGGACUGAGAACGGCCCAGACUCCUACGGGAGGCAGCAGUGGGGAAUAUUGCACAAUGGAGGGAACUCUGAUGCAGCAACGCCGCGUGAGUGAUGAAAUAUUUCGAUAUGUAAAGCUCUGUUCUAGGGGAAGAAAAUGACGGUACCCUAGCAGCAAGCCCCGGCUAACUACGUGCCAGCAGCCGCGGUAAUACGUAGGGGGCAAGCGUUAUCCGGAAUUAUUGGGCGUAAAGCGUACGCAGGCGGCCAAAAAGGUCAGAGGUGAAAGACAGGGGCUCAACCCCUGCGAGCCUUUGAAACCAUUUGGCUUGAGCAUAGGAGGGGAAAGUGGAAUUUCUAGUGUAGCGGUGAAAUGCGUAGAUAUUAGAAGGAACACCGGUGGCGAAGGCGACUUUCUGGACUAUGUCUGACGCUGAGGUACGAAAGCGUGGGUAGCGAACAGGAUUAGAUACCCUGGUAGUCCACGCCGUAAACGAUGAGAAAUAGGUGUAGGGCCAAACCCUGUGCCGAAGAUAACGCAUUAAGUUCUCCGCCUGGGGAGUACGUUCGCAAGAAUGAAACUUAAAGGAAUAGACGGGGGCCCGCACAAGCAGUGGAGCAUGUGGUUUAAUUCGAAGAUACGCGAAGAACCUUACCAGGGCUUGACAUAGUGUCUAGGACUCUAGAGAUAGAGGGAUAAUAGGUACAUACAGGUGGUGCAUGGUUGUCGUCAGCUCGUGUCGUGAGAUGUUAGGUUAAGUCCUCCAACGAGCGCAACCCUUGUCCUUAGUUGCCAGCAUUUAGUUGGGGACUCUAGGGAGACCGCCGGCGUAAGCCGGAGGAAGGUGGGGAUGACGUCAAAUCAUCAUGCUCUUUAUGUCUUGGGCGACACACGUGCUACAAUGGUCGGUACAAUGAGAUGCAAAAUCGCGAGGUAGAGCAAAUCUAUAAAGCCGAUCUCAGUUCGGAUUGGAGUGUGCAACUCGACUCCACGAAGUCGGAAUUGCUAGUAAUCGCGCAUCAGC